rnacentral:rRNA from 1 species
GACGAACGCUGGCGGCGUGCUUAACACAUGCAAGUCGAACGGAAAGGCCCUGCUUUUGUGGGGUGCUCGAGUGGCGAACGGGUGAGUAACACGUGAGUAACCUGCCCUUGACUUUGUGAUAACUUCUGGAAACUGGGGCUCAUACCGGAUAGGAUCUCCUGCUGCAUGGUGGGGGUUGGAAAGUUUCGGCGGUUGGGGAUGGACUCGCAGCUUAUCGGCUUGUUGGUGGGGUAGUGGCUGACCCAGGCUUUGACGGGUAGCCUGCAUGUGAGGGUUACCGGGGACAAUGGGACUACGAGAGGGAGCAGAAGGGAAUGGGAGGCAGUGGGGGGGAGUAUGACGGAAUGGGGGGGAGCGAGAUGCAGAGGGGUCGGGAGCGGAAAAACGGGUUUCGAGGGGUGAACAGAUGAGGAAGGAGAGGAAGCGGGAGUGACGGUAAUGGAUAAAAAAGCACCGGCUAACUACGUG